rnacentral:rRNA from 1 species
UACGGGGGGGGCAAGCGUUGUUCGGAAUUACUGGGCGUAAAGGGCUCGUAGGCGGCCAACUAAGUCAGACGUGAAAUCCCCAGGCUUAACCUGGGAACUGCGUCUGAUACUGGAUGGCUUGAAUUCGGGAGAGGGAUGCAGAAUUCCAGGUGUAGCGGUGAAAUGCGUAGAUAUCUGGAGGAAUACCGGUGGCGAAGGCGGCAUCCUGGACCGACAUUGACGCUGAGGAGGGAAAGCUAGGGGAGCAAACGGG